rnacentral:lncRNA from 1 species
UAGCAUUGCCAGGCAUUCUGUCGAACGCUUGGUGGGCAUGCCCAAAGCGCCUAGAGAUUGCGUAUUGCUGCGAGCAUACCCGAGCCGCCGGAUCACCCUACCAGUGCACCCCUUGCACCCCUGGAUAGCCACAGGGCCGAGUCAAAACCCCGACAGGUCUUCUCUCACCGUGCUGCAGCCCUGCUAUGCUGAAGCACCGCCGCCGUCGGCAAGGCCGCUGCGACCGGCCCCCGCUUCGGCCCUGCCAUAGCCAGCACCACCCAAGCAGCCUCAGCGUGCCAGCUGCCCCCUUGGACCACCUCCUGCGUCAUCCCCUUGCUGCCCGCUCUGCCAGCGUGCAGCUGCCGCACAUGAGCACCGUCAGAAGCUAUCGCGGGCGUCCCUAUACUCAGCCACCACGGAACCGCCUUUGGCCGGCUAUAAAUAGCCUCACAGGGAGAUGCAGUGUGCUCCAUCGCCCCC